rnacentral:lncRNA from 1 species
GGAGAAUGAUUCGGAAAGGGUUGUCGAUAUGGGAGAAGAGCAUGCAAAUGCUCAUGCUGGGUUUGAUUCUUCGAGUUGUCAGAUUGAUCUCUGGAAAUAGUGAUCAAAAAUAAGAAGAUGCAAGAUGAAUACACGUGAAAUAUACAUGCACACUAGUGCUGUGAAGAUGAUGAUGGUGGAGACCGGUUAAAAAUAAGUUGGAAGGAGAAAUAACAUGGAGUUAUUUCCCCGAUUUAUAGAGGUUUUGUACAUAAUAAAAACCUAAAUAAUAUGGUAUUUUCUCUCGAUGAUUCUUGCUUCAGUAUUGUAUUAUAUGUAUAUGAUAUAUGCACGCGUGAAUAUAUGUAUGCAGGCAUAUAUAUAUGCAUCUAUAUUUUAUCUAUGUUUGUAUGGAUCAUGAAUGUAUAUCCAUCCUUAAAUUUGUAUAAUAACCAUAUGAGUAAUGGUUUAAAUGUGAAACCAGUCCUUGAGGAAAGGAUAACUAAAGAAAAAACUCUAUAAAUUAAUAAACUUGAGACUAUAAUAAUGAUGUGAAUCCAGAAAGAAUAUUAGAAAAGUUUUGAUACUCCUAUCUAUUCACAAUUGGAUUACUAGUUACAUGUGCAUUACAAAGCCAAAUCAAAGAGAUAGUUAAGUCUUUCAAUUUAUUCGACAUUGCCAACCCAUUUCCUUAAUUAGAAAAGAAAAUAAAAAGCGCACAAGAACGUAUUUGAGAUAGACAUUUCUAACUUAUGAAAUAUAUAUAAGCCACACUGAGUUUAAUUUGAAUUAAUUACACAUUCUUAUAAAUUUUACCCAAAAUAUUCAUAACUAAUUUACCAACUGAGUUUAUUUUGGUUGGACUUACCACAUUUCAAUUGUUGUUGAUGAGAAACAACUUGCAAGAAGCUUGAGAGAGGGAAACCCAGAUAAUAUUAUGUAUGUAAAUGAGUGUGAAAGAUAAGUAAAGAUGCAUGGCUUAAAAAACCUCAAAGAAGUUGUAAAUUUU